GACGAACCGUGCGAACGUUAUUCGGAAUCACUGGGCUUAAAGCGCGUGUAGGCGGAUGGGAACGUCGGUUGUUGAAAGCCCCCGGCUCAACCGGGGAACUGGCGCCGAAACGUCCUGUCUUGAGGAGCGUAGGGGGACCUGGAACUUCCGGUGGAGCGGUGAAAUGCGUUGAGAUCGGAAGGAACGCCCGUGGCGAAAGCGAGGUCCUGGACGUUAUCUGACGCUGAGACGCGAAAGCUAGGGGAGCGAACGGG
rnacentral:rRNA from 1 species